rnacentral:rRNA from 1 species
GGCAGUCAGAGGCGAUGAAGGACGUGCUAAUCUGCGAUAAGCGUCGGUAAGGUGAUAUGAACCGUUAUAACCGGCGAUUUCCGAAUGGGGAAACCCAGUGUGAUUCGUCACACUAUCAUUAACUGAAUCCAUAGGUUAAUGAGGCGAACCGGGGGAACUGAAACAUCUAAGUACCCCGAGGAAAAGAAAUCAACCGAGAUUCCCCCAGUAGCGGCGAGCGAACGGGGAGCAGCCCAGAGCCUGAAUCAGUGUGUGUGUUAGUGGAAGCGUCUGGAAAGGCGUGCGAUACAGGGUGACAGCCCCGUACACAAAAAUGCACAUGCUGUGAGCUCGAUGAGUAGGGCGGGACACGUGGUAUCCUGUCUGAAUAUGGGGGGACCAUCCUCCAAGGCUAAAUACUCCUGACUGACCGAUAGUGAACCAGUACCGUGAGGGAAAGGCGAAAAGAACCCCGGCGAGGGGAGUGAAAAAGAACCUGAAACCGUGUACGUACAAGCAGUGGGAGCACAGAGCAAUCUGUGUGACUGCGUACCUUUUGUAUAAUGGGUCAGCGACUUAUAUUCUGUAGCAAGGUUAACCGAAUAGGGGAGCCGAAGGGAAACCGAGUCUUAACUGGGCGUUAAGUUGCAGGGUAUAGACCCGAAACCCGGUGAUCUAGCCAUGGGCAGGUUGAAGGUUGGGUAACACUAACUGGAGGACCGAACCGACUAAUGUUGAAAAAUUAGCGGAUGACUUGUGGCUGGGGGUGAAAGGCCAAUCAAACCGGGAGAUAGCUGGUUCUCCCCGAAAGCUAUUUAGGUAGCGCCUCGUGAAUUCAUCUCCGGGGGUAGAGCACUGUUUCGGCAAGGGGGUCAUCCCGACUUACCAACCCGAUGCAAACUGCGAAUACCGGAGAAUGUUAUCACGGGAGACACACGGCGGGUGCUAACGUCCGUCGUGAAGAGGGAAACAACCCAGACCGCCAGCUAAGGUCCCAAAGUCAUGGUUAAGUGGGAAACGAUGUGGGAAGGCCCAGACAGCCAGGAUGUUGGCUUAGAAGCAGCCAUCAUUUAAAGAAAGCGUAAUAGCUCACUGGUCGAGUCGGCCUGCGCGGAAGAUGUAACGGGGCUAAACCAUGCACCGAAGCUGCGGCAGCGACGCUUAUGCGUUGUUGGGUAGGGGAGCGUUCUGUAAGCCUGCGAAGGUGUGCUGUGAGG